GAUGAACGCUGGCGGCGUGCCUAAUACAUGCAAGUCGAACGAAGUACAAGGAGCUUGCUUCUUGUAACUGAGUGGCGAACGGGUGAGUAAUACAUAAGCAACCUGCCUUAAUGCCUGGAAUAACAGUUGGAAACGACUGCUAAUACCGGAUAACAAUCAGAGUGACAUCACACUGAUUUAAAAGUUGGGAUACAACACAUUGAGAUGGGCUUAUGGCGCAUUAGCUAGUUGGUGAGAUAAAAGACUCACCAAGGCGAUGAUGCGUAGCCGACCUGAGAGGGUGACCGGCCACACUGGGACUGAGACACGGCCCAG
rnacentral:rRNA from 1 species